rnacentral:rRNA from 1 species
CCUACGGGAGGCUGCAGUGGGGAAUAUUGGACAAUGGGGGGAACCCUGAUCCAGCCAUGCCGCGUGUGUGAAGAAGGCCCUCGGGUUGUAAAGCACUUUCAGUGAGGAAGAACGCCUGGUGGUUAAUACCCAUCAGGAAAGACAUCACUCACAGAAGAAGCCCCGGCUAACUCCGUGCCAGCAGCCGCGGUAAUACGGAGGGUGCGAGCGUUAAUCGGAAUUACUGGGCGUAAAGCGCGCGUAGGUGGCUUGAUAAGCCGGUUGUGAAAGCCCCGGGCUCAACCUGGGAACGGCAUCCGGAACUGUCAAGCUAGAGUGCAGGAGAGGAAGGUAGAAUUCCCGGUGUAGCGGUGAAAUGCGUAGAGAUCGGGAGGAAUACCAGUGGCGAAGGCGGCCUUCUGGACUGACACUGACACUGAGGUGCGAAAGCGUGGGUAGCAAACAGGAUUAGAUACCCCUGUAGUC